CCUUCAUAAAUCACCUGUGUGGGCAAUGGCACUGAACAGGCUUUUAUCUUCCAGGCAAGCUGAAACCAAGCUUCUGCUGUUGAUUUCUGGAACACAGACACUACAGCCCUGGAAGACAAAUGCUGAAGGACGGCCUGGGCCUGGCAUCGCUGCAGCGUACGGUGGAUCGCCCAGGUGGUUCCACGGUCGAAGAGCCAAGCCUGGAUAGCGCCAAACCACCAGGACUUUAACUUUCUCCUGCCGGCACCAAGGACAGAAGUCAAAUCUGUGGACUGAGUCUUGAAAA
rnacentral:lncRNA from 1 species